CCCACCAAGAACUAUACACUGAUCAAUGUAACUAUUACGCAAACCAUACAAUUAUCUACACUAUUAAUCAACUUAGACUAACCAAUCACAUAACAUUUCAGCAAUUUCAUCUCUAUAGUCAGUGGUUAUGGUAUGGUUAGUAACUAUUGUACAGUUAGACAAUUAUGGUUUUAGAGUUACAAUCUCAAUUAGUAAUAGUUAAGGUGUUACACAUACAAUGUUAAACAGUAAUUUUAGUAUUGUUCACGUAAUGUCAGUGGUUAUGGUACCGUGCCCAAUUUUACACUAUACACACUUUUUUACAAGUCCGCUAAACAGCAGAGCUCAAGCUUUCUAGCAGGACAUACAUUUCACCAAUUACAGCGUAUUUUAAAACUUUUACAGCAAACCCAACUAUUCUAACUGGCCAGCACCUUGAGGACUAGUGAACGGAAUGCACACCAGAAUUCAACUAGCCUACGCUGCCCAGGCACCACGAUCUAGUGGACGGAAUGUACACCAAAAUCCACUUAGUCUAUAUAUUCUAUCUAUGAUCUAGUGGCUGAAUGUACAACAAAACACACUUAGUCAAGAUAGUGUGAGAGCUAGCAGACGGAAUAUACAACAGAAUCUUGCUUAGUCUUGCCGUUAUUCCCUGAUCUAG